rnacentral:lncRNA from 1 species
UACCGGUUCGUUAUCGGUACAUGAAGGUAAAAACAGCACCAGCCUGGUACAUAAAACGCCAAAAGUCGGUCCGGAGUGUAACCAGCACCAGCCUAGUACAUAAAACGCCAAAAGUCGGUCCGGAGUGUUAACCGGUACUUGUAUCGAAAAUACCAGUUCGUUAUCGGUACAUGAAGGUAAAAACGAGCACCAGCCUGGUACAUAAAACGCCAAAAGUCGGUACCGGAUUGAGUUUGAUAAUCUUUUAGUUCGAGAAAUUUGGUACUGCUACCCGGUACCAUUUGCUCAUCCCUGAUCACGGGUACCAUACGAACACCAACGGUAUCGUA